UUUCCGUGUUGCAGCGAAAACCGGUGUUUUUACAGUUCCGGGCAGGCAGUUAAUUCUGAAGGAAAUAACACUGCGAAAACUGAUGGAACGUUCCACUGGCUUUCCCUCCCGGCCUCUCAGCAGAGUGGUUGUGACCGGUUAUACCCAUGGUGAUGAGCUAGGAGGAGUGGCUGAGGCACGGCGGCGCCCCCUUUCUGCACUGGCAGCUUCAGAGCUCAGACACUGCUAGCCAAUCCCAGAGCAUCCAAGCAGAACAAGAGAUACCUGGAGAUAGACCUGAACAGGUGCUUCACAGCAGAGAUAUUGAGCUCUUGAAAUUGGUCCCUAGCCCAUAGGACUAAUUCGAUCAGAUAUCUGCAACAUGAUGAGACGUCUCGUAGGACAUGUCCUGGACUUUAUAGA